rnacentral:tRNA from 1 species
GCUGAAGUAGCUCAGUUGGUAGAGCAACUGAUUCGUAAUCAGUAGGUCGGGGGUUCGAAUCCUCUCUUCAGCACCA